CAAAUUCUCUUGUGCUGGUUUUUUGACAGUUAUAAACAAAGAGGAAAUUGCCAUUGCCAAUGCACUAUGAUCAGCGUAAAUGUAUUACUAAGUGUAUUAAUCUAGUGGUAAAAAUAUUUCCAAAUUUCCUAUCAACUCGGAACCGUCUCUCCCAUCACGGCCGCUCACACCAACCGCCCCUUCACUGCUGCCACUCUUCGCUGCCGCUUCCCUGUUUGUGUCGCCUUCUCGUUUCUACCGCUAACCACCGUUUCCUUCUCCUCACUUACUCCAGUUGGUGCCAUCGCUGCCGAUUUCUGUGCAAGAGUAAAUUUUUGAUGUUUGUGUGAAAGGAAGUAAAGAUCGUAUUUGAAGGCUUGACAAUGCGGAAGGGUCAAGACAGGAAAAGGAAUCACACGUCUUCCUUAUAAUUUUUUGUUGAUCUAUUUAUAUUAUUAAUCUAUUUGUGCAUGUGUCUUAUAUUACAAACAAAAUUCGUACAUCAGAGAGGAAGUUCAAUUUCAGUCGAAGGGUAGGUUUUUUUCAUCCUCUGCAAACCAGGAAAAUUAAUCAAAUCGAUUGUUUCCUUUGGCUUUCUUAUUUACCGCCUCCUCCGCGGUGGCUACUCCGUCGGAAUCAUUGUUCAUACUAAGAACUCCAACUUUACUGGUUGCAUAAAUGUCCAUUCUCAAAUAUACUCCCUCUGUGAUCCAAGCAGUAAGGGAUUAUAUCACCCGAAGUUGCAAAGACUCUGGAAUAAGUCGAGAAAGAUAUUUCAUCAAUAAUAGAAGUCAUAAUUUUAUACCGUUCGCUUACUUUGCACAUGUUAAGCGAAUGUGUACUUGGAUGGCCCAUGAAGUGGCUAAUAAGUCCUUAAAGCCUCCUUUUUAGGAGUUAUUAUUGUAAUCUCUGUUAUCUAGUUCUUUCAAACAUUAUGUACUUCUAUUUACCGAAA